UGUAUCUUAUUUAUUAGAAAUCAGCAGCUUGACCUUGGAGCAGCAGACCAAACAAAAAUCAAAAUUUGGUAUUUCUAGCCACCAGACUAUUCUCCUUUAAAUGUUUAGUUGACUGAAAAAAGUUAAAUUUAAACAUAUUGGCCGUGUCUACAUGGGAUGCUGACUGCGCAGUUGUUACUGCAUGGUAAGCACGGGUUUGUAGCAGAUAGGUCAUGCCUGACUAAUCUAGUCUCUUUUUACAGCCAGGUUACAAAACAUGUGGACGCAGGAGUAGGGGUUGACAUCGUCUACUUAGACUUCAGGAAGGCCUUCGAUACGGUAUCCCACUCCAUACUGUUACGGGUGCAUGAAAAGAAGUCGAAAACAUUACCCUACUGUUGAUUACUAGCAGAUGGGGAAAAGAAACUGUCUUACCCUCACAGAUUCCAAGCUCCAGAGCUGAGGAGAGGUUUUGGGGUCCUCUUUGUGAUGAACUGUGGAGAGAAAUGACUAUCCCAUUUGUUUAUUGAAAAAUUAUCAGUUAAUUGCAAUUUUCUCUAAUUGUAUUUAAAAUAACUUAUAAUGUAGAAAUUAAUGAACAAUUGCUUAAUUCAAUAUAUUUGAAAAUGUGGUCUGUUGUUACACAGAUUACAUCUAUUAAAAUAACAAACAUAAAAAAGAUUAAUAAAAUCAGUUAAGUUCUCUCAACAAACGAGAAAGACCUACCAUAACUUUUUUAAACUCUGACAUUUUUAAAUUGGAUAUACAGUAUUUUAUGUACAAAUAAUUCAAACAGUUUGCUUUGAAAUCACAUCUGUUAUACUUAGUUUUGUGAACUAAAAUUAUGCCAUUUAAAAUGGUUAUUUUUCUGCAAAAUGUAUUAAAUGUAGAUGUACUAUCAGGACAACUCUUUGCACUACAACAUACAUGCUUGGUAUCUUUAACUUAGGGUACCUGGGAAUUUGCAAUUUAUUGCUGAAUGCUGCAGCUCAUGUAGAAUAUCCCAUAGGAGAACUAACACACCUGUGAAAUUUGCAGAGAAUGUUGGUAAUAAAACUAUAACCAAGCUCAUAAAGAUGCAUGUUGAAAAAAUUAAACUUGAAAAUAAAAUGCCUCUCUGGACCAUG